UUCCAGACUCCUACGGGAGGCAGCAGUGGGGAAUAUUGCACAAUGGGGGAAACCCUGAUGCAGCAACGCCGCGUGAGUGAAGAAGUAUUUCGGUAUGUAAAGCUCUAUCAGCAGGGAAGAAGAAAGACGGUACCUGACUAAGAAGCCCCGGCUAACUACGUGCCAGCAGCCGCGGUAAUACGUAGGGGGCAAGCGUUAUCCGGAUUUACUGGGUGUAAAGGGAGCGUAGACGGCAUAGCAAGUCUGAAGUGAAAGCCCGGGGCCCAACCCCGGGACUGCUCUGGAAACUGCGGCGCUGGAGUACGGGAGGGGCAGGCGGAAUUCCUGGUGUAGCGGUGAAAUGCGUAGAUAUCAGGAGGAACACCGGCGGCGAAGGCGGCCUGCUGGACCGUGACUGACGUUGAGGCUCGAAAGCGUGGGGAGCAAACAGGAUUAGAUACCCCAGUAGC
rnacentral:rRNA from 1 species